rnacentral:rRNA from 1 species
GAUGAACGCUGGCGGCGUGCCUAAUACAUGCAAGUCGAGCGAAUGGAUUAAGAGCUUGCUCUUAUGAAGUUAGCGGCGGACGGGUGAGUAACACGUGGGUAACCUGCCCAUAAGACUGGGAUAACUCCGGGAAACCGGGGCUAAUACCGGAUAACAUUUUGAACUGCAUGGUUCAAAAUUGAAAGGCGGCUUCGGCUGUCACUUAUGGAUGGACCCGCGUCGCAUUAGCUAGUUGGUGAGGUAACGGCUCACCAAGGCAACGAUGCGGAGCCGACCUGAGAGGGUGAUCGGCCACACUGGGACUGAGACACGGCCCAGACGCCGACGGGAGGCAGCAGUAGGGAAUCUUCCGCAAUGGACGAAAGUCUGACGGAGCAACGCCGCGUGAGUGAUGAAGGCUUUCGGGUCGUAAAACUCUGUUGUUAGGGAAGAACAAGUGCUAGUUGAAUAAGCUGGCACCUUGACGGUACCUAACCAGAAAGCCACGGCUAACUACGUGCCAGCAGCCGCAGUAA